ensembl:lncRNA
CAGGGGUGAGAUCGGGCUUACAGGGGUGGGAUCUGGGGCUCUGGGGUGCUGGGGUGGGAUCUGGGUUACCAGGGGUGAGAUCGGGGGCGCUGGGGUGAGAUCUGGGUUACAGGGGUGAGAUCGGGGGCGCUGGGGUGAGAUCUGGGUUAGGGGGGUGGGAUCUGGGGCUCUGGGGUGAGAUCUGGGGUGCUGGGGUGAGGUCUGGGUUACAGGGGUGAGAUCUGGGUUACAGGGGUGAGAUCUGGGGCGCUGGGGUGAGAUCUGGGGUGCUGGGGUGAGGUCUGGGUUACAGGGGUGAGAUCUGGGGCGCUGGGGUGAGAUCUGGGUUACAGGGGUGAGAUCUGGGGCGCUGGGGUGAGAUCUGGGGUGCUGGGGUGAGGUCUGGGUUACAGGGGUGAGAUCUGGGGCGCUGGGGUGAGAUCUGGGUUACAGGGGUGAGAUCUGGGGCGCUGGGGUGAGAUCUGGGUUACAGGGGUGAGAUCUGGGGCGCUGGGGUGAGAUCUGGGGUGCUGGGGUGAGGUCUGGGUUACAGGGGUGAG